UGGAUUAAUAAUGGCUGCUGGUGCUGUAUGAGUCAUUGUUUGUGUCUGCAGGUCUGGGAGUCUGAGGUCCAC
ensembl:snoRNA